UACAUGGGGUGCAAACGUUGCUCGGAAUCAUUGGGCGUAAAGCGCGCGUAGGCGGUUAUUUAAGUUGGAUGUGAAAGCCCUCGGCUUAACUGAGGAAGUGCAUCCAAAACUGAAUAGCUAGAGUACGAAAGAGGGUCGCGGAAUUCCCGGUGUAGAGGUGAAAUUCGUAGAUAUCGGGAGGAACACCAGUGGCGAAGGCGGCGACCUGGACAGAUAUUGACGCUGAGGUGCGAAAGCGUGGGGAGCAAACAGG
rnacentral:rRNA from 1 species